ensembl:lncRNA
AAAGAACACGAGUAGACGAUAAAAGAACACGAGUAGACGAUAAAAGAACACGAGUAGAGGAUAAAAGAACACGAGUAGAGGAUAAAAGAACACGAGUAGAGCGAUAAAAGAACCGAGUAGACGAUAAAAGAACACGAGUAGAGACGAUAAAAGAACACGAGUAGACGAUAAAAGAACACGAGUAGACGAUAAAAGAACACGAGUAGAGACGAUAAAAGAACACGACUAGACGAUAAAAGAACACGAGUAGAGGAUAAAAGAACACGAGUAGAGGAUAAAAGAACACGAGUAGACGAUAAAAGAACACGAGUAGAGACGAUAAAAGAACACGAGUAGAGACGAUAAAAGAACACGAGUAGAGGAUAAAAGAACACGAGUAGAGGAUAAAAGAACACGAGUAGAGGAUAAAAGAACACGAGUAGAGGAUAAAAGAACACGAGUAGAGGAUAAAAGAACACGAGUAGAGACGAUAAAAGAACACGAGUAGAGGAUAAAAGAACACGAGUAGAGACGAUAAAAGAACACGAGUAGAGGAUAAAAGAACACGAGUAGAGGAUAAAAGAACACGAGUAGAGGAUAAAAGAACACGAGUAGAGGAUAAAAGAACACGAGUAGAGGAUAAAAGAACACGAGUAGAGACGAUAAAAGAACACGAGUAGAGGAUAAAAGAACACGAGUAGAGGAUAAAAGAACACGAGUAGAGGAUAAAAGAACACGAGUAGAGGAUAAAAGAAGACGAGUAGAGGAUAA